UACACAAUUGGAAGACAGCUUUCACGCUGCUCUGAAGAAUACGAAGAGAGUCAGAAGUGCUCUGGGGAAAAAUUCCUUCCUCAGAUCUUGCCCUGUACUCCCUGAAGUCCUCAAAGAAAACCACGGACCAAUCCACAAAGCACAGUAGCAAUUAAAGGAGGAAAAAUAGACGCACAUGCAUUUUAAGAAAGAAGAAGAAUGAGCAACCUGAUAUUGCUAAGGUCAGCACUACAGAGCUUUGGACAAGACUUCUCUUCAGCUGUUUGUGGUGAGGCCUGCAAGAAUGAUCUCAUGCAUCGCAAAGUAAAGUUUCCAAGCUUAAGUCAAGGGAAUCUACAGGGACAAGUGUGCUAAGUACCUGCUAUCAGCAUAGGAAGACUGACUCUCCCUUGUUGCUGGUUGGUUGUGUUUUUUUUUUUUUUUAAU